AACGAACGCUGGCGGCAUGCCUAACACAUGCAAGUCGAACGAGACCUUCGGGUCUUUUGGCGCACGAGUGCGUAACGCGUGGGAACCUGCCCUUAUGUUCGGACUAACUCCCCGAAAGGGGUGCUAUUACCGGAUAAUGUCUUCGGACCAAAGAUUUAUCGCCUUUGGAUGGGCCCUCGUUGGAUUAGCUAGUGGGGAGGGUAAAAGCCUACCAAGGCGACGAUCCAUAGCUGGUUUGAGAGGAUGAUCAGCCACACUGGGACUGAGACACGGCCCAGACUCCUACGGGAGGCAGCAGUGGGGAAUAUUGGACAAUGGGCGAAAGCAUGAUGCAGCAAUGCCGCGUGAGUGAUGAAGGUCUUAGGGUUGUAAAGCUCUUUUAACCGUGAUGAUAAUGACAGUACCGGGAGAAUAAGCCCCGGCUAACUCCGUG
rnacentral:rRNA from 1 species